AAAGCGGAGGAAAAGAAACCAACAGGGAUUGCCUCAGUACGGCGAGUGAAGCGGCAAAAGCUCAAAUUUGAAACCCUCGGGAUUGUAAUUUGAAGAUUUGGCAUUGGAGAAAGCUAACCCAAGUUGCUUGGAAUAGUACGUCAUAGAGGGUGACAACCCCGUCUGGCUAACCGUUCUCCAUGUAUUGCCUUAUCAAAGAGUCGAGUUGUUUGGGAAUGCAGCUCAAAGUGGGUGGUAAACUCCAUCUAAAGCUAAAUACUGGUGAGAGACCGAUAGCGAACAAGUACUGUGAAGGAAAGGUGAAAAGAACUUUGAAAAGAGAGUGAAAUAGUAUGUGAAAUUGUUGAUAGGGAAGGAAAUGAGUGGAGAGUGGCCGAGGUUUCAGCCGCCCCUCGUGGGCGGUGUACUGCCGACGCCGAGUCAUCGAUAGCGAGACGAGGGUUACAAAUGGGAGCGCCUUUCGGGCGUUCUCCCCUAACCCUCCACACUGCCACCGACGACAUAAUCCACCCAUUUCACCCGUCUUGAAC
rnacentral:rRNA from 1 species